rnacentral:rRNA from 1 species
AAACCAACCGGGAUUGCCUUAGUAACGGCGAGUGAAGCGGCAAAAGCUCAAAUUUGAAAUCUAGUACCUUCGGUGCUCGAGUUGUAAUUUGUAGAGGGAUACUUUGGGGCCGUUCCUUAUCUAUGUUCCUUGGAACAGGACGUCAUAGAGGGUGAGAAUCCCGUAUGAUGAGGAGUGCGGUUCUAUGUAAAGUGCUCUCGAAGAGUCGAGUUGUUUGGGAAUGCAGCUCUAAGUGGGUGGUAAAUUCCAUCUAAAGCUAAAUAUUGGCGAGAGACCGAUAGCGAACAAGUACAGUGAUGGAAAGAUGAAAAGAACUUUGAAAAGAGAGUGAAAAAGUACGUGAAAUUGUUGAAAGGGAAGGGCAUUUGAUCAGACAUGGUGUUUUGCGCCCUCCGCUCCUUGUGGGUGGGGGACUCUCGCAGCUCACUGGGCCAGCAUCAGUUUUGGCGGCAGGAUAAAUCCUUUGGAAUGUAGCUUGCUUCGGGAAGUGUUAUAGCCAAGGGGAAUACUGCCAGCUGGGAUUGAGGACUGCGACUUUUAGUCAAGGAUGCUGGCAUAAUGGUUAUAUGCCGC